UAGGGAAUUUUCCGCAAUGGGCGAAAGCCUGACGGAGCAACGCCGCGUGAGUGAUGAAGGUCUUCGGAUCGUAAAACUCUGUUAUUAGGGAAGAACAAAUGUGUAAGUAACUAUGCACGUCUUGACGGUACCUAAUCAGAAAGCCACGGCUAACUACGUGCCAGCAGCCGCGGUAAUACGUAGGUGGCAAGCGUUAUCUGGAAUUAUUGGGCGUAAAGCGCGCGUAGGCGGUUUUUUAAGUCUGAUGUGAAAGCCCACGGCUCAACCGUGGAGGGUCAUUGGAAACUGGAAAACUGGAGUGCAGAAGAGGAAAAUGGAAUUCCAUGUGUAGCGGUGAAAUACGCAGAGAUAUGGAGGAACACCAGUGGCGAAGGCGACUUUCUGGUCUGUAACUGACACUGAUGUGCGAAAGCGUGGGGAUCAAACAGG
rnacentral:rRNA from 1 species